rnacentral:rRNA from 1 species
GCGAACGCUGGCGGCAGGCUUAGCACAUGCAAGUCGAGCGGGCGUAGCAAUACGUCAGCGGCAGACGGGUGAGUAACGCGUGGGAACGUACUUUUUGGUUCGGAACAACACAGGGAAACUUGUGCUAAUACCGGAUAAGCCCUUACGGGGAAAGAUUUAUCGCCGAAAGAUCGGCCCGCGUCUGAUUAGCUAGUUGGUGAGGUAACGGCUCACCAAGGCGACGAUCAGUAGCUGGUCUGAGAGGAUGAUCAGCCACAUUGGGACUGAGACACGGCCCAAACUCCUACGGGAGGCAGCAGUGGGGAAUAUUGGACAAUGGGCGAAAGCCUGAUCCAGCCAUGCCGCGUGAGUGAUGAAGGCCCUAGGGUUGUAAAGCUCUUUUAGUGGGGAAGAUAAUGACGGUACCCACAGAAAAAGCACCGGCUAACUUCGU